GCUGGCAAGUGUCAGGAGUUUUACUUUGAACAGUUUGAGGUGCAGUUUCCUAGAAAACUCUGCACCGAUAUCCUUGAAACGUAGCAGGCUUCAUGCCCUCAGAAGGCGCUACGAUCCCUGAAAUUUUCAUCCAAAUCAGGCAAGAAAUGACAAAGUUUUAGGCAUUUUCAUGAUUCCCCAUUAUAGCUUAUGGGGAAAACGUUGGAAGGCAUCAAAAUAGUGAAACCGUUUCGAUGAAAAAAAAUGGAACAGUACUUCGAAACUAAAUGAAAUGACAUAAUGAAACACUGUCUCUUCAAAAUGGUAACAUGGUAGUCAAAAUGAAAUGGCGCUGUUUCGCACAGCCCUAUUGGCUCCCAAAGUUGAGGGGAUGGAGCAGUAAUGUCAGCAGCCCCAGUCAACUGCUGCAGUUAAUGGAGGGCCUGGGAGACCACACAAGGAGGAUCAGUUUUCAGCCCAAGGUGGCCUGCAGGAUGGCUGAGCCUUUCUCUUCAUUUAUAUAUAGACUAAAUUAGAACUAAGUACAUCUGUACAAAAGGGACAUUUUCCAUUCUUCUACAAGGUCAGAAAUUCUGAGAGAUGAGUUUUUCUAGGCUUGAGGCACUAGCAGGUUUCUGGCAGAUACCUUUCGAAAACAUGACUAUAGUUGUGCACAUUCAACACCCCCUUUGGGAAACAAUGUUUCCUCAACUUGCCAUUUGGGUUGAAUUUGGCAUUUCAUGCGUUUCCCCAGAAAAUGCAGUUCAUUUUGAUGGUGGAGGGUUGUAAGGUCUACAUAGAUGAUGAUUGAUUUGAAGGGAAAACAAGAACAGCAUGAACUUAACUUGUAGCUUCAGAAACAAGUAGAGCUCCUGGUCUAAAGUAAAAUGAGUAAAACUAUCUCUUUUGUCCAACGGAAAUAAAAUACUUGGGAGAGAAAUUAAUACACAAGAUGUAUAGGCAGGUCACACAGUAAGUUUUCAGCAAUUACUAACACGUGUGCUUAAAUAGACAUGGACAGGGUACCUACAGGUUUUGGGAUAGUGAACUCUGUAGGGAAAUCUGUGCCUAAAUUAUCUACCUUAAUCAGCACCCUUAGGCUGUAUCCACAUGAGCAUGGACGUUUGGCUCCCUAGGGACCAGUAGCAGCAGCACAUCUUGUGCUGCUGCUACUUGUCCCCAGGAAAUGCCUGUGCCACGUGCCCUGUGGUGCACAGCAGGUUACUCUGGGUGGGGUAGAGGAGGCUGGAGCCAGCACUGGCCUGGCCCCCAAAGCCUCAUCUGGGGUCCUGGGAGCCUCCAGGGGCUGCAGCAGUGGUGAUCCUUCCACUUGGAGCCCGAGCUGGCCAGGCUCCAGUUUUGGGCAGCAUGCACUGCCCCCGUGUAUGCUGCGCCACUUUUUAUUUUUUGCAUGGGUAUUUUUGACCCCAGGAUCUCCCAGAGUCACCCCCACAAAAAAAAAACAAACAAACAACAAAACACAAAAAAAACUUGGCACUGCUACCUUGCAAAAAUGCAGAGAACAGCUGAAUGUGUGAUACGUUGCACUGCAGAUGUGUCUUCAGCACUACAUACUGCAUGGCCGCGCUCAUCUAGACACAGCCUUACAGUGCUAUGAUGCAAAAAUGUCCGAUGCAUGUGAGAUGCAAAACUUAAAAAGAGCUUUAAAAAGCAAUUUAGUGUAGCCCAGGAAACUCAGAUAUAUACUCCCCUUCUCCAAUUGAAGGUAAUUGUUAGCUGGCAGGGGAACUGCAGACUGCUCAGUUUCCCUCUGUCCCUAUAGAACCAGGCCAGGACUCUCAGGGGACUUAACUAUAUACAAAUGUAUUUACAUUAACUUAUCACAGAGAAAAGAAGCAUGGAUAUAAACAUAUGUACAAUAUACAUACAUAUAUAUACACAUGCAUACAUACAUAUAGAGAGGAUCUCUACACAAAUAACAUAAACAAUACCCUCUGGGUAAAUGCUAUAAAACCUUACACCAGUGCUGCAGAUACAGGUAAGUGUCUGAUCUAAAACACAUAAACCCCAAAAUAAACAUAGACAGCCAACAGAUACAUUAUAGAUAAGUAAGGGUGAGCAAUAAAUAAGCCGCAAAUAAAUACAAAUAAACAACAGGUGAAAUAAUAACAACAGGGGGGUCCCAGCAGAGCCCUAGGACUCUUUUCAUCUACUAAUUUAUAAACAUGAGAGUUCACAAAAUAUAUGGCAUGACAUCACACCACUUAUGGUGCAAGAACCCCAAAGAUAAACUUAAUCCCAAGGGUAAACCCCAAUGCCUUUGGGCUUUUCCCAAGCCCUACAAGGAAGCUGGUAACUUUUUUUUUUGGGGGGGGGGGGGCUCCCAGUGGGACCUCCAUUUUCAGGAGCCCUUGACUAACCAGGGGGGACUCCCCCUCCCCUGUGGGAAUCCUCUUUUCCCUGCAACUCUCGGCUCCCAGGCCUGGAGGGUGGCCCUCGUCCCCUGUGCCAAGCUGCUGUCUCACCUGUGGUGGGCUUCGGGGCGGGGGGAAAUCACUGAUCCCUGGAACAGGGAUCCUUUAUACAGGGCUUGUGGGGCCGCUGGCUUGGCCCUGUCUGCUGGCUGCCAAACACCGUCUGGCUGUCUGGACUCAACCUUUUGCUAUGGGUCAGAGGCCUGGGAUGCCUCGUGCAACACCAGGCUCAGUCCGCUCCCAGACCCUCCAUGCAGCACCUCCUGCACUGAGCUCCCAGCCUUGUUCCAGGGGUGGGGACCUGAGCCACCCAAGUGCUCCAGAGAUCCUGCUCUGUGCACAGGCCUGUGCACCGUGUCUCUGGCCGCACGCCAGAGGUUACAGACCUGAGCUGCCUCAUGCAGCUCCCAGGGUCUGGACACCAUGCACCGUUCUGCACACCGAGAGCCUAGCCGCUGGAGCCAUCGACUGUUCCCCACUGAUGGAAGUCUUCUUGUGCUUCUGGGCUACUGCUUCACCCUGCUGAGCGGCUCUCCUCAGCUCUUCUAAGCCCCGCUCUUCUCUCUUCUUUGUUCCAGAUGUGUCCCCCCUUGUGCUGGGCAUGCAGCUCCUUUUAUAUGCCCCAGGGCUCCACCCCUGAAGUCUUCUGGACCUGAGUGUUGCAAUCUUCAAUCAGAGCUGGGGGGGUGGGAAGCGCUCCUCUCCCCCUCCCAUUAGGAAAGGGGCAUGACUUAACUCCUCUUCCUGCCUGCUGAUUGGUGGAUAGGUGCCACCAAUCAAAACAGCAAGAUUUCACACCUGGGAUUCAACCCAAGCUCCAAAGGCAAGCCUGCUGCAUUAGGUUAAGCGAUCUCAGGUCAAAGGUGACAUUAAUCACAGACACAUCUAAGGAAGUAUUGGUACAGUUGUAUCAUAACGAUCACAAAAACUGAUCAUCAGUGGCUUAUACACUAAACAUGAUAACAAAAACCGAGUGCAAGCCUGUACAAAAGAGAAAAAGGCUUUGGCUUCAGUCCAUGAGUAGAAAAAGUUUCAUGCCAUUUAUGGGAAGCUAGUGUUAAUUUCAACUAAUCAUAAAACACUUACUGCCAUUGCCAAAAGGGGUCUUGUGGACAUGAAUAUGUUUCUUGCUUCCUAGAAAUAAUUUCAUGAGAAGAUAUGUAAUGGGGAACCGAAUCAAAUCUAUUUUUUCUGCAUUUGAGGUAAAUGACAGAACAGUAGCUGGUAUUUUAACACAGUUUUAUAGGUAUGACUAAAUAUUUUCUAGUGAAGCAUGGAUUUAUCAUGAAACUAGUAGGCCCUAUUAUCCUUAAAAUAAGAGGCUGGUGGAAAACAAUGUAAAAAUUAUUAAAUGCCUAUUGAAAGACUUUGGAGUCAGACUCUGAUCCAUAGGUACCACUGUUACCUUAAAUAAUUGCAUGCAUGAAGCACAGGUGGUCAUCUGGAAACAUUCUGCUCAGUGAAAAAAAAAAUUGAAAAUAUCUGAAAUUUUAGGAACUGAUGUCACUGGGAUCUUGCAGAUAGAGAGAGAGAUAGAUAAAGCUGAACUUAAAACUCAGUUUGGUUUGGUUCCCCAAAGUUGCUACCACAAUGUUGUGUGCAUCUAUGAUAAGAAGCAAUGGUCACAGAUAGCAGUGCUGUUACUGGAGCAAGCUAGCUACCAUCUUGUAUUAACCAAAGAUGAGCAGAGUCACAGAGAAAUAGGAAAUACCCUCACCAAACCCCAAAGUAGAAGAAAACCGGAUCACUCGGUUAUUCUUUUUUUUCUUGAAAAUGUCUCAUAUGGGGUGUGUGUAGAUGAAACAGGGGCUCUAAAUUGAAGUGAUGGGUUUUAAAGAACACCGCUUCAAUUUAGGGCUGAUUAAGCCCCUGUGUGGUGCACACACCCUGCUGAUUUACCUGCCUCUCUGGUGGCAGGGAGGGGAGGGUGAGCUGCCAGCGGGCAGAGCGGUCCCUGGGCUGCAGGGGAGGAGGCUGGUGCUUCCCUCCAUGGCAGCGGCAGCCACCCCCCAGGCAGCAGCCGCCUGCAGGCACUCAGCUCGGGUGUCCCAGGGGGCACCGCAUCUACGGAGGGAAGCACUAAGUCCCCGUGCAGCUCAGGCAGGCAGACACCGGGUGGGGGGGAGACCCCACCGCCACUGUUCACUGGUACACUGCUUUUCUUGGGUAGAGGCUGCUUUCCUGGGCUGCUGCCAGGCUGCCUGCGGGGCUUUCAGAGCCAUGGAGCUGCAUGGAGCCCGGUGCUUCGCUCUGCAGCCGUAGGGGCAGCAAACUAAAACUCCUUCAAGGAGUCCCCAAGUCAUUUAAGGUACAUUACGCCGCCAAAUUUGCUACAGCAGCUAGAAUUAAAUGCACAAUACACCACCAAGGCAUGCAAACACCAACACCAUUAAAGCAGUUCAAAAGCAUUUAGCCUACUUUAAAGUGUUGUGCAUACAUGCCCGUCAUUUAGUUUACACACGGCCAUAAUAGGCAACCACCACAUCAAACUGAUGCAGCUGAGCUCUAGACCAAGUCACUAGGGAGCAUGCUAGAGGGAUGCUGAUGCCAGGGAAGACUUGCAGGCCUACAAAAUAGAAAGGUAGAGACUGACUGACAACAUUAUUUGUUAGUUUAAUUAAUAAAAUAAUAAGUAUUUGGAAUCCUCUGUAUGUUAAUGUUGACCAUUAAUUGCUAAUGUUCUGUUUAGCUGGGAAAGGAUGCUAACAGGUGCUGACAUGAACUUGAUGCAACCAACUGGUAAAUUAUCCAGAGGACCUUGUUCACAAAGAAACAGAAGCGACUGGCGUUCACCUGAAAGACUGCUGGAAUCCUGACCUCCAAGUCUUCUGCUGAAGGACAGAUCUACAACCCACUGAGCAAUUUGAGUUACCAGACUUGAGAAAGGAAACAAAAUUUGGAACACGUGUAUUCAUC